rnacentral:misc_RNA from 1 species
GAAGGAACCCCGAGUCUGCUUGAUUUGAGGCAGCUUUAAUAAUUGUCCGUCAGGACGGCUGUAAGCAGCGCCGCUGAAGAGGCUUGAGGCGUUGGCGCAGAUAAUUAUCACACCGUUGCCCAGCACUCUAAAAGCGCAAGCUAAUGCAUUUCAGGACGAGCCGACUACGGCACGGUCCAAAUCCCCCGCUCGCGAUUGUAACAUCGCAAGGGUACCGGUUGACGUGACACUCAAACACGGAUGCUCCCCGGAAUACCACGGAGCGCAACGUGCGUUCAACGAUUCGAUGAUUCACUGAAUUCUGCAAUUCACAUUACUUAUCGCAUUUCGCUGCGUUCUUCAUCGGUGCGAGAGCCAAGAGAUCCGUUGUCGAAAGUUGCUUUUGUUUUUAUGGUAUUGACAUUCUAGACCGUUCUUGUGUGCGAAGCGGAAGCGACCCUUUGACGAGUCUCAACCAAAGGGGUGCACAGGUGUGAGAGUUUCCACAGCGUGCACCCGAAGCGCACAGCUGAAGACGGUAGGCCGAACCCAGAAUCUUUCAUCAUCCUUCCGCCAGUUCACCUACGGAAACCUUGCUACGACUUAUACUUCCA